AACGCACCUUGCGCUCCUUGGUAUUCCGAGGAGCAUGCCUGUUUGAGUGUCGUGAACCCUCUCAACCUCGCUCCUUUGCUGGGGCGGGUUUGGAUUUGGACGCCUGCGGCCGAAAAGGCCCGCUCGUCUUUAAAUGCAUUUAGCCGGGUCCCUAUGGUCAGGUCCAAGCGACGGUGUGAUAAACAUACGCUUAGUGCGCCGUCGGUCGCCGGCCGUGGGGGGUUGCUUACAGUCGUCUUCGGACAAGCCUUUCAUGUCAUCUGACCUCAAAUCAGGUAGGACUACCCGCUGAACUUAA
rnacentral:misc_RNA from 1 species